GGCAGAUGCACUCUGUGACACACAGAAAUCCACUUGUGAUUACAAUUUGUUAGUUUGCCAGAGCAAGGGGAUGCGGUUUAUCCAUGUAGUCUAAGCCCUGCCUGGGGGAUUGCAUUGAAAACGUAUCUUACACUAU
rnacentral:snoRNA from 12 species